CAUGGACUGGGGUGCAAAGGAGUGUUCUCUUGGGUAGACUUGCCCUACCAAAGUCUGGGGGGCAGAGGCAACCAUGCCCUUCCCUAGGUCUAUUCUUUACAGUCCCCAUAGAUGGCUUCGUGGAGUAGACAUUUCCAAGCUCCCAGUCCUUGUCCUACUUGGGUAAUGGGAAUGGGAGCUAGGAGCCCAGGCGGCUGGAGUUAUGACUUUGCUAAACUACUUUGUGUGUGUGUGUGUGUGUGUGUGUGUGUGUGUGUGUGUGUGUGUGUGUGUCUGUGUGUCUGUGUGUGUGUGUCUGUGUGUGUGUCUGUGUGUGUUUGGGGGAAGCCACUUGAGAAAUCUCACACAGGAGUGGGCUUCUGCCCCCAAACUCAAUGCUCUAUCACUUUCCAGGGCAAUGAGGCAUUUUCUGAGCAUCUGCUGUGUCCUAGCCACGAUGCCAAAAGCCUGCGAAGGGUAACAGCUAGCGCUCUUGCCCUUGAGAAGUCUACAGAUCAGAAGGGCUCCACUCCGGAGCUAUGGUCUGCCUUGCCCUUUCUUCUUCUGUCGGAUAGGAGACUUGCGAACACUGGACUUAAGAUAGAGGGAACGGUUCUAGAUUUUUCAGGGACCAAGAGAGUCAGAGGGUGGGAGAGCUCUCUCUUACAAUCAGUUAAAGGAACGGCCUGGGUCUUUCACCUAAACCUGUGAGUUGGGGUCAGGACAGAGGUGUGACUGAAAGAAAGCAGGCUAGGGGUAGGGUCUGCAUGUACUUCUAUGGGAUGUGAUAGGGAAUAUAUACAAUCUUUGGGGCUUAAGACAGGAUUUUUAUUUCCUGAUAAGGACAGCCAGAUCAGAGGAUCUGACCAAUCCUUACAGAGCUAAAGGCAUUCCCGGAGACCCCAUAGAGUUAUAUCAUCCAAUGGAGUCUCUCUGUAUCAAAGGCCCAAAUGCAAUGCUGAACAGUGAUCUGGCCAGAAGCUCUGAGUGCCCAUUCUCGGGCUGAGAUCAGCUUUUUGAGAGACUAUAUUCUAGAAGGUACCGGUGGACGGCAAUUUAUUUUGAAAUCUGGCCAAGUGCCAAACUCCGAUUUUGAGUUGCCUUUGCACCACAAGCCUGCUGUGUUUAUGACUUGGUCUAGAUGAAGAGGUUCCCCCCACCCCCUUUCAAGAAAAAAAAAAGGGUAUCACAUCCUUCUGUUAGAUGUGUUGUUAGCAACGGUUGCUAGGGAGAGUUGGGUUCAGUUACAGGCACACUGAUGCCUGCUCUAAUAAUACUUCUCUCUGCAUAGCUCAGAUGCAGACACCUCUUGGCUAAACAGGGCACACACAUUUCAACAGACGAGGGCUUGAACUUGUACUACCCAAGCAGCUCUGGGCAAAAGAGCUCUCUCUAAGCUCAAGGGAAAAAAAAAAUCCCCAAACCAAGCCUGAGACCAGUCCUGCCCUUGACUCCCCCCGUGCCUGGCGAUGCAUGGCAGACGGGGCCUCUCCUGCCUGUUUGUCACCCUCUCCACUCUCCCAGGACAUUCCGGCCUGCGAGGAACAUGCCGAUGUGCAAAUCCCUCAGGGACAGCACUGCAAACCACGAAGCAGGUGGCCAGGUGCCCUGAGUACAUCUGUCAUCCAAGUUAAUUACGAGGGGACUCUCAGAGGCGGCACUGGUAGGACAAUUGGGCAUAUGGUCACCCUGUUCACCAUGACCGCUGGCGGUCCCUUUAGCUCUGUCCCCUGCUUCCCAAGGAAUUGCUUUACCAGCUAGACCCGAUGACACAAUUUGUAUCCAAACUGGGCUCUGUUGUGUAAAGUAACAGGAAAGACAUUUCUCCCACCCAGAGUCUCCAAAAGUGGCCUUCGGGCCUGAUAUGGUCACCAUGUCAUUCUCCACUGUCAUAUCUUCCCCGAUGCCACCAGAUCUGGGGUCAGCAGCCAACUGUUAGCAUACACAACAGGUACUGAUAUAACGGUACUGAUAUAACCCACACUUACUACACAUUCACCUGUGGGGCUGUGGUUAGAUACGGGCACACACUCAUUACACACUCGCCUAUGGGACUAAGGUUAGACACUGGUCUGGGGCAGACAGCAGUAAGAGGAUUAGGGGAAGCUCUCUGGAGGGAAAGGGAGAUUGGGUGGGAAGGUACCAGGCAGCAAGAAAAUCUUGGAUCGCCACACUUUCUUAAUACUUUGGAAUUCAGUGCAUCAACAGACAGACUGUCCUCAUUCUGUCCCACAAGGCUUUGCCUUCCCUGCUCUCCCAAGAGUAUAACCAUCAAGCUUUGGAGGGUUGUCCUUAGGGAGGAGGAGGAGAAAAAGGAGAAGGGAGAAGUUGGGAGGCCAGGGAGAAGGAGGAGGAAGAGACAGGUCCAGGAGCAAGUUCAUGACCGCACAGACACGCAGAGGUCAAAGCCCAGGGCCAAUUGCCAGCCUCUUAUCAUGAAAAUAGAAAGAGAGAGAGGGCGGUUGAACAAAAAGCACCUAUAAAAUUAUAUUGGUCCUUCGUAACCAUGGAGCACUCACAUAAACACACCCAAAUCCAGCCGCUCAUCUCUCACCCCUCGAUGCCUGCUUAUUUUCUAUAAUUAAUCAGGCAGGGGAGGAAGGGACUUGGGAGAAGUUCAACCACCACCAGAACUCACAGCCCUCUCUCUAGCAAUAACCCUGGUCAGAGGGGCAGGGGAGCGGAGCGGCAGCUGUCGGUGUCCGGUUACCUGGAG